CACUAAUUUGAAGCGGCUCAAGCGGUGACUCAUGUUCCAGAGGGAGGAGAUUCGGAGCCCAGCUCCUGGCGGUCUCCACCAUGCAGCAUCUGCGCCAGCCGCGCUAGCCUGCCCUUGGACUUGAGAGCCGGGAGCAGCUAGUGCUCGCCAUGGUCAAAGGGCCAAGGGAGGCCUGAGGGGCCCCUGGCCUAACCAGGCUGUUUUUCCUGUAGGGACACCCUCCCUGGCUCUGUCCACGGUGCUGAAGACCCAGUUAGUGUCACCGUCGUGUCGGAACCGGAUUAGGAAAGGGAUGGGUGGGGCAAUUGCAGAGGGUUCACGGCUUCCACCCUGGACCUAUGGAGCCUGCGGCAGAAGGCUGGGAACGCAGGUGGGAGCGACUGAACAGGUGUGAUCCCAGCGACAUUAUGCAAUCGAGGCCGCCUGCCUGCGGUAGAUGUUCAGUUGCUGUUUCAAGAACAGGGAGAGACACCAAGAAAUAGACACCAGUGGACCCAUUGGUUUGCCAAGAGGAUUGGAGCCAAGAGGGCUCCAACUCUACCCUGAAGACCUCUGAUCUUCCUUUCUCCACAGCCCCCACCUCCUGUUUACUAAGCAUACAGUGUUCCAGAUCAGACGGGAAGACAGGACAAGGUUUGCUGCUUCCAGUCACCUGGGGAUUGGGGAAGCAGAGACAGGUGAAGCUGAAUUGGAGAAAACCACUUAAACUCAAGGCCCAAGGAGGCUCUCUGCUCCUCAUCCUGAGGGACUUAAAAUUAAAUGCAAUGGAGAAGCUUAGAGGAUGCCCACAGCAAAAUGCAACACUAAAAAAAGCCACCAGACCAUUUGUAAUAUUAUUGUGAACAGGUAAGAGCUUCAUUAGAGUGAAUCCUGGAGUGUAACGUUGAGAAAUUUGUCUUAGACAGCAGGGGCCCAAAGCAGCUGUGCAUCAGGUCAGAGAGGCCUCACAUGUGACAAGAGAGGAAGACUUUCUAUCUAACCUGUGGCCUCCAUGUCCUUG